rnacentral:rRNA from 1 species
GACGAACGCUGGCGGCGUGCCUAAUACAUGCAAGUAGAACGCUGAAGGAGGAGCUUGCUUCUCUGGAUGAGUUGCGAACGGGUGAGUAACGCGUAGGUAACCUGCCUGGUAGCGGGGGAUAACUAUUGGAAACGAUAGCUAAUACCGCAUAAGAGUAGAUGUUGCAUGACAUUUGCUUAAAAGGUGCAAUUGCAUCACUACCAGAUGGACCUGCGUUGUAUUAGCUAGUUGGUGGGGUAACGGCUUACCAAGGCGACGAUACAUAGCCGACCUGAGAGGGUGAUCGGCCACACUGGGACUGAGACACGGCCCAGACUCCUACGGGAGGCAGCAGUACGGAAUCUUCGGCAAUGGACGGAAGUCUGACCGAGCAACGCCGAGUGAGUGAAGAAGGUUUUCGGAUCGUAAAGCUCUGUUGUAAGAGAAGAACGAGUGUGAGAGUGGAAAGUUCACACUGUGACGGUAUCUUACCAGAAAGGGACGGCUAACUACGUG